rnacentral:rRNA from 1 species
AUUGAACGCUGGCGGCNGGCCUAACACAUGCAAGUCGAGCGGAUGAAGAGAGCUUGCUCUCUGAUUCAGCGGCGGACGGGUGAGUAAUGCCUAGGAAUCUGCCUGGUAGUGGGGGACAACGUUUCGAAAGGAACGCUAAUACCGCAUACGUCCUACGGGAGAAAGCAGGGGACCUUCGGGCCUUGCGCUAUCAGAUGAGCCUAGGUCGGAUUAGCUAGUUGGUGAGGUAAUGGCUCACCAAGGCGACGAUCCGUAACUGGUCUGAGAGGAUGAUCAGUCACACUGGAACUGAGACACGGUCCAGACUCCUACGGGAGGCAGCAGUGGGGAAUAUUGGACAAUGGGCGAAAGCCUGAUCCAGCCAUGCCGCGUGUGUGAAGAAGGUCUUCGGAUUGUAAAGCACUUUAAGUUGGGAGGAAGGGUUGUAGAUUAAUACUCUGCAAUUUUGACGUUACCGACAGAAUAAGCACCGGCUAACUCUGUG